AACGAACGCUGGCGGCAUGCCUAACACAUGCAAGUCGAACGAGUGCCUUCGGGUGCUAGUGGCGCACGGGUGCGUAACGCGUGGGAAUCUGCCCUUUGGUUCGGAAUAACAGUUGGAAACGACUGCUAAUACCGGAUGAUGACGAAAGUCCAAAGAUUUAUCGCCAGAGGAUGAGCCCGCGUAGGAUUAGCUAGUUGGUGUGGUAAAGGCGCACCAAGGCGACGAUCCUUAGCUGGUCUGAGAGGAUGAUCAGCCACACUGGGACUGAGACACGGCCCAGACUCCUACGGGAGGCAGCAGUGGGGAAUAUUGGACAAUGGGCGAAAGCCUGAUCCAGUAAUGCCGCGUGAGUGAUGAAGGCCUUAGGGUUGUAAAGCUCUUUUACCCGGGAUGAUAAUGACAGUACCGGGAGAAUAAGCUCCGGCUAACUCCGUGCCAGCAGCCGCGGUAAUACGGAGGGAGCUAGCGUUGUUCGGAAUUACUGGGCGUAAAGCGCACGUAGGCGGCUUUGUAAGUUAGAGGUGAAAGCCUGGAGCUCAACUCCAGAACUGCCUUUAAGACUGCAUCGCUUGAAUCCAGGAGAGGUGAGUGGAAUUCCGAGUGUAGAGGUGAAAUUCGUAGAUAUUCGGAAGAACACCAGUGGCGAAGGCGGCUCACUGGACUGGUAUUGACGCUGAGGUGCGAAAGCGUGGGGAGCAAACAGG
rnacentral:rRNA from 1 species